rnacentral:rRNA from 1 species
CCGGUUGAUCCUGCCGAAGGCUACUGCUAUUGGAGUUCGAUUAAGCCAUGCGAGUCUAAGGGAUCUUCGGAUCCCUGGCGUAAUGCUCAGUAACACGUGGAUAAUCUACCCUCAGGUGGGGCAUAAACCCGGGAAACUGGGGCCAAUUCCCCAUAGAUACAGAUGGCUGGAAUGCUUCUGUAUUCAAAGCUCCGGCGCCUGAGGAUGGGUCUGCGGCCUAUCAGGUUGUAGUCAGGGUCAAGACCUGACUAGCCAGCGACGGGUAUGGGGUGUGAGAGCACUUGCCCAGAGAUGGUUUCUGAGACACGAAACCAGGCCCUACGGGGCGCAGCAGGCGCGAAAACUUCGCAAUGCGGGAAACCGUGACGAGGGAACUCCAAGUGUCUAUGCAUUGCAUAGACUGUUUUUUAGCCUAAAUAGCUAUUAGAGUAAGAGGUGGGCAAGACCGGUGCCAGCCGCCGCGGUAACACCGGCACCUCGAGUGGUAGCCACUAUUAUUGGGCCUAAAGCGUUCGUAGCCGGUUUGGUAAAUUCUUGGGUAAAUCGUACCGCUUAACGGUGCGGAUUCCGGGGACACUACCAGACUUGAGACCGGGGGAGAUCAGAGGUACUUGCGGGGGAGCGGUGAAAUGUUGUAAUCCUGCAGGGACCACCAGUGGCGAAGGCGUCUGAUCAGAACGGCUCUGACGGUGAGGAACGAAACCCUGGGGCGCAAACGGGAUUAGAUACCCCGGUAGUCCAGGGCGUAAACGCUGCUGACUUGGUGUUGGGGAUCCUACGAGGAUGUCCAGUGCUGGCGCGAAGGUAUUAAGUCAGCCGCCUGGGGAGUACGGUCGCAAGACUGAAACUUAAAGGAAUUGGCGGGGGAGCACUGCAACGUGUGGAGCGUGCGGUUUAAUUGGAUUCAACGCCGGG